rnacentral:rRNA from 1 species
UACAGAGGUGGCAAGCGUUGUUCGGAAUUACUGGGCGUAAAGGGCGCGUAGGCGGUCUUGCAAGUCCUGUGUGAAAUCCCUCGGCUCAACUGAGGAACUGCACAGGAAACUGCUUGGCUUGAGUUCGGGAGAGGGAAGCGGAAUUCCGGGUGUAGCGGUGAAAUGCGUAGAUAUCCGGAGGAACACCGGUGGCGAAGGCGGCUUCCUGGACCGACACUGACGCUGAGGCACGAAAGCGUGGGGAGCAAACAGG